UACAGAGGGUGCAAGCGUUGUUCGGAAUUAUUGGGCGUAAAGGGUGUGUAGGCGGUUUGAUAAGUCUUCUGUGAAAUCUACGGGCUUAGCCUGUAACGUGCAGAGGAAACUAUCAGGCUUGAGUGUCGGAGAGGAUAGGGGAAUUCCCGGUGUAGAGGUGAAAUUCGUAGAUAUCUGGAGGAACACCGGUGGCGAAGGCGGCAUCCUGGACCGGUAUUGACGCUGAGGCGCGAAAGCUAGGGGAGCAAACGGG
rnacentral:rRNA from 1 species